UAAUCACUAAAGAUGCCAACAACAUCAUAAGAGUUCUGCAGGUAGAUGUAAGGAAUCAUUUAGCUUCCUCAUCAUCAUCUUCAGCCUUUCCUUUUGAUGACUCCCGCUGCGAGGAGGCUGAGUCUGCAGCAAAACCAGAAACAUGUCUUUGGAGGGUCAUUGCCACUAAAAAUGCUAGCUCUGCUGAUCUGAUUAGUUGUCAGACCCUUGAUCAUUAGUUAUAUCUGUAUGUCUUACCCUUUCUGUAGUUCAGUGUGCUGAUGAAUGUUUUGUAUACAUUAUUCUUACCAUUAUAAAGAGAGAAUGCUUGAAAGGGAAAAAAAAUUUAUCAUAGUAUUGGAAAUCUAUGACAUGAUCCAUGAUAUAUAGGCACUUG
rnacentral:misc_RNA from 1 species